GACGAACGCUGGCGGCGUGCUUAACACAUGCAAGUCGAACGGAAAGGCCCUGCUUUUGUGGGGUGCUCGAGUGGCGAACGGGUGAGUAACACGUGAGUAACCUGCCCUUGACUUUGGGAUAACUUCAGGAAACUGGGGCUAAUACCGGAUAGGAGCUCCUGCUGCAUGGUGGGGGUUGGAAAGUUUCGGCGGUUGGGGAUGGACUCGCGGCUUAUCAGCUUGUUGGUGGGGUAGUGGCUUACCAAGGCUUUGACGGGUAGCCGGCCUGAGAGGGUGACCGGCCAAAUUGGGACUGAGAUACGGCCCAGACUCAUACGGGAGGCAGCAGUGGGGAAUAUUGCAAAAUGGGCGGAAGCCUGAUGCAGCAACGCCGCGUGCGGGAUGACGGCCUUCGGGUUGUAAACCGCUUUCGCCUGUGACGAAGCGUGAGUGACGGUAAUGGGUAAAGAAGCACCGGCUAACUACGUG
rnacentral:rRNA from 1 species